CCACGCCGUAAACGAUGGAUACUAGACGUUGGGGAGAGAUUCUUCAGUGUCGUAAGCUAACGCAAUAAGUAUCCCACCUGGGGAUUACGACCGCAAGGUUAAAACUCAAAGGAAUUGACGGGGGCCCGCACAAGCAGUGGAGUAUGUGGUUUAAUUCGAUGCAACGCGAAGAACCUUACCUGGCCUUGACAUACCAAGAGUUUGCUAGAGAUAGCGAAGUGCCUUCGGGAACUUGGAUACAGGUGCUGCAUGGCUGU
rnacentral:rRNA from 1 species